UGGAUUUAUCCCCUGGUGGACGGACUCCC
rnacentral:piRNA from 1 species